UACGGAGGGUGCAAGCGUUAUCCGGAUUCACUGGGUUUAAAGGGUGCGUAGGUGGGUUGGUAAGUCCGUGGUGAAAUCCCUGAGCUUAACUCAGGAACUGCCGUGGAUACUAUCAGUCUUGAAUGCUGUGGAGGUAAGCGGAAUAUGUCAUGUAGCGGUGAAAUGCUUAGAUAUGACAUAGAACACCAAUUGCGAAGGCAGCUGGCUACACAUAUAUUGACACUGAUGCACGAAAGCGUGGGGAUCAAACAGG
rnacentral:rRNA from 1 species